CCUGCCUGUUGGGGGUCCUCCCAGGACCAGUCUAUGAGGUCUGCUGCCUCGGGUACCUCUGGUUGGGGUUGGGGAAGAAGACCGGUUGUCUCUUCCCUCUGCAUGGUGCACUGCCGCUGGGGAGAGAGGUCGCUGCUCUCCUCUCCCUGUAACUCAGGCUGCCGCUGGGGAGGGAGGUCGAUGCUCUCCGCUCCCUGUAACUCACCCAGGGGUUGGGGAUCUGGGCCGACUGCCCAGCAUCCCUGUAGGGCCUGUAGAGAGACCUCGGUCCCAUCUCUACCUGCCAUCAGAGGUUCCUCCCAGUAUACCUCUACGAUAUCCUUCCAGCUGAAGGACUCUCGAUCUG